CUCUGCGUUCUAGACUCUGCAAUUGGAGUUUUGACCACAUGGUGGCAGUAGAACAUCUACAACUCCACUGACUUUCCUGGAGGCCCCUGGGUUCAUAUCCAGGACUGAAGAUGUUCUCUCUGGUGGAAGUGGAGUUACUAAAAGCUGCUGAGAGCUGCUGAGAGCUGCUGAUCACUGAAGGGGCCAUAGACUGACAUUAUAUGGAGCUGACCAUCUGUUCAGACCCUCACGGAUCCUGAGGUCCUCCUUUUAUCCAGACCAGAAGCCAGACCUAAAACCACUAGAAGACCUUUCCUGAUGCCGGAGGAGAAGACAAGCAGCUUUGUACCUUUGCGAUGUUCAGAGGGAGAUGAUGCCACAUCUGGUCCAGCCGAUGGAAGGUCUUGAAGUUCUCUGACUGGCCUGGACUGAAGAUGGUCGUCUCACUGGAUUUAAGGUUCAGAUGCUCAGUAACAAACUCCACCAAUGUGCCAACAGGGAAGCUUUAGGUUUAUUAAAUGUUGCUAUGAAGGUUUCGCUGUUUUUCUUUGUGAAUACAGUGAGCUCCAACUGAAACUUGAAUUAGAACUUAGAAGUAAAUCCUUCCACCUGAAAGCAUUUAGUUGCAUUAAUAACCUCAUAACAUUCUAAUUUUUAUUCCAGUCUUGGUUGGAAAUAGAAUCUCUGUAUUGAUUCAGGUAAAAACUGAACUUCACAGCAUGUUGGAGCAAAACAACCAGAUGAAAACUGUGAUGGUGUUGGAUUGUCAGACUGUAAUGUUGCAGCUCAAAGCAGCUUUUCUAUCUCAGUUCAUUCUGACAUUCAGCUAUGAAUCAACACAGCAGAUGGUGAUCCAUGCUGUGGAAGUCUCACAUCUCCUGAUUUAAUGGAGCUGCUUUGCACUUUUUACACUGUUUAUUCACCAACUCUUUAUUUAAUAAAAGUCCCAUCUAGUUUUUAUGAGGAAUGUGAUGUUUUAAUUUCUCUGUGAAAAACUGCAGUCUAAUGGAACAGCUGGAAUUGUAACAUCUGUCCUGAUAUUGAUCAUGAAGUAUUGAUCAGAAUACUUAUGGUUAGCAGUCAUCCCUGAAGUUUUACAUUAAAAUCUUUACUUGUGUUGUGAACUUUGGUAAGAAGCAGAAACUUUAGCGUUGCCAUGGAUACAUGAGUGUUAAAUUCUGUCCAUGUUUCCAUUUUGGGAAAUUCAGUCCAGCAGAUGAGUUUGUUUUUACUGCCAGCUACCAUUCAGUCUGAGAUAUUAAGAAUAAAUAAAGGUGCAUAAUGUGGAAAUGAACAGAUUUUAUUUUUUUUUAUUCCUACAGCAGCUGCAGGUAAAGUUUCAGAAUGUGGAGGAAUUUAGUCUCACAAUCACAGACAAUAAAUAUUAUCUGAAAGUCGGGUUAUUGUUGUUUAUCAGCACAAUACAAAAAGAUUCAUGUUAGAAAUAUUCCAGUUAAGACUCUAGAAUAUCAGGAUUUAUGUGAAUUUACCUCAAUAAUAUGAAUGUUCAGGUUAAGAUUGUGCAGUGAUAUUUAUUAUGUGAGUUUAGCUGAUUAAAGUUUGACUCUGUACUACAAUAUUAUUUAUUAUUUACAUCAUUAUUAUAAUAUUUAGGGUCAGACCCUACAGUAUUGAGAUUAAGAAAUCAAAUAUUCUAUAAAAUGUACAUACACUGAACUCAUUUGGAUAUAUUUAAGUGAGAUUCUACAAUAUUAUUUAUGACACAAAUCUAUCUAAAUCAAAAUUUUAAUCAUUUUUACUCCAAACAUUUACUGGACUGAUUUAAAUAUUAAAAUCACUCCUUUCUAAUCCUCUGCUGUACGUUCAAACCUGAGGCCUUAAAUAGAAACACACAAGUAUCUGAUUGAAGGAACUUCUGCAGAGUCCUGGUUCCAGAACAUGAUGAUAGAAUUAUAGACAAACUUUAACAAAACAUCCAGAAUUGGAGCUCAUAUCUUUGGCAGCUGUAAAGUUUCUGCUCCUUCAAAGUUCACAACACAAUGAAUGAAUUCCUAAAACACUCUCAAUGCUGGAGAGCGUUUGAUGCUGAAGCAGUGAUCAGUUUUUCUGUUUCUUCUCUGGAGAUGCACAAUGAGGGACGUCUGCAGAGACUGAGAAAGAGUCUCACCACAUCCUGACAUGAGGAAAAAGACUUUAUUGAAGACUACAAUGAGAAAAACUAUCAGACAGCAGACGGCUGCAUUCAAGGUGAGCUCUGAACAUUUGAUCUGGAACAGGAAUUCAAUAACGGCAGCAUGAGCUUCAUUUCAGUCUGUAGCUGCUGAAUUCAUGGAUGAAUCAUCUGGCACUAGAGAGGAAGACCAUCAAACAUCCACAUCAGCUGAUGGAGGUCCAAGAGUCUCACCCAACAAACAACCUACAGAGUGAAGACCUCCAAUCUGAUUGGACGGCCUCCUAUUCAGCCACAUGCUACAGGAGGAGUCCUACGAGGACGAGCCGGUCCACCUGAUGGUGGCCAGUCGCUGCGGUUCAAAGCCAUCACCGACUACAUGGACUUCUACUGGACCACACAGAGGCCUUCAAACCGGACCAACAAGUUCAGCGACUCCCCGACUCGUGGGUCUGAGGACGCCGCCGAGCCUCGGUCCAGCCGGCCUCCUGUCUGUGGGUGUUUGAGUGCUGAGAGGUUUGUGGAUGCAUGUGAACGUUCUGUGUUGAAACAGCAGCUUUGGACUCAGUAACACCGGGAAAAACCAAGAGCUCCUUUAUUUGUGACUUCCACUAAAAAAACUGAUGAAAAUAAGUUUGCCAGGGUUCUGACUGAUAACAGAUUAUUAAAUAAUGAAAAUAAUCCUUUAAAUAUUCCUUUAAACAAUCCAUUUAGGUCUACAUUUCCUUUACACUGACUUCUUGGUAAAUGUACAAGUAUUUUGGGUGGAAUAUACCAUUAAGCCCAAUGUUCAAGGGUUCUUCUGGGAAUAUACCAUUAAACCAACCUUUUAGGUAAAUGUUCCAGGAUGUUGGGUAGAAUAUACCAUCAGAUCAACCUUUUAGGUCUACAUUGGAAGAUUUUAGAGUAGAAUAUUACUCCAAAUCAUCCUUUAGGGCCACAGUUAAGGUGGAAUACUCCUUUACACCAAGAUUCUUUGGUCUACAUUGAAGGAUUUUAGGUGGAAUAUUCCUUUGAACAAACUUUUUCAGUUCAUGUUCAAGGAUGUUGAGUGGAAUAUACCAUCAGACCAACCUCCAAGGUCUACAGUAGUGAAUUUUAGGUGGAAUAUACCAUUAAACUCACCUUUUAGGUCUACAUUGAAGGAUUUUAGGUGGAAUUUUCCUCCAAACCGUCUUUUAGUCUACAUUUAAGGAUGUUUAGGAUGGUAUAUUCUUCCAAACCAACUUCUCAGGUCUACAUUUCAGGUGGAAUAUUCCUCCAUACUAACUUUUUUGGUCUACAUUGAAUGAUUUUUUCUAAACCACCCUUUCAGGUCUAUAUUUGAGGUUUUAGGUGGAAUAUUCCUUUUAACCAGCCCCUCAGGUCUCUUUGAGGAUUUUGGAUGGAAUACUCGUUUAAACCAACAUUUUAGGUGCAUGUCCAAGGAUUUUUGGUGGAAUGUUCCUUUAAGGUGCAUGUUUGAGGACCUUGUAGAUGGAAUACUUCCUGAAACCAACCAUUUAGGUCAGCAUUCAAAGAUUUAAGGUUCCUUUAAACCAACCUGAAUUUCAUGUAUUGAUUAUUAUUAGUCCAGACUAAAUGACAGAAAUCCACAACUGUAAUUUUAUUUCAGGACUCGGUUAUUAAAUGUCAAAACAAUCCAUGUGACUCUAAAAACUCAACAGCUUUACAAACUCUAAGAUUAAACUCUCCAUGAGGAUCCAAAAUAAGCUGGACUUCUAUAUGAGAGCUUUAAUUAUUCUUCAUCUACUUCCUGAAAAGUUUGAUCAAUAAAAAAGACAAAAACUAAUAUUUUCAGCUGAACUAAAGACAGACUUUGUGAUUUUUCUGCUCACAUGUUGUGUUGUUGUAAACUUCCUCUUUCAAAUAAAUAUCCUCCUAACCCCCUGGAAA